CUCAAGAUUCAGCAGGACUUGGCAGGGACCUUUAUGCUUCCCAGAGACCCACUGACAGCUUCAUCUAACUGAAGGCUGCCAUGGAAAGAAGCAACCUAGCCUGUUUGUCUCCAUCUGCCACCAGGAUUCUGCCCUGUUUGCAUUGGACCUCUGCAAUUUCAAGACCCAUCACCAGCCAUGCUCAGUGUGAUACAAGGUGAAUGAAGACUUUAAAGCAAUCUGUCACUCCACUUUCUGUAAGGACUUAGAGGCAACUCCUCAUCUGUUUGGAGCAGUUAUAUGAGAUGUUUGCAGUAAGUACCUUA
ensembl:lncRNA